rnacentral:rRNA from 1 species
CCUACGGGUGACAGCAGUGGGGAAUAUUGCACAAUGGGGGAAACUCUGAUGCAGCGAUGCCGCGUGAGUGAAGAAGUCACUCUUUAUGUAAAGCUCCAUUUGCAGGGAAGAAAACGACGGUACGUGUGUAAGUCGCCCCGGCUAACUCGGUGCCAGCAGCCGCGGCAAUAUGGAGGGGGCAAGGGUUAUCCGGAUUUACCGGGUGUAAUGGGGGUGUAGACGGCAGUGCAAGUCAGGGGUGAAAGGCGGGGGCUCAACCCCCGAACUGCUCUGGAAACUGUACGGCUGGAGAGUAGGAGAGGUAGGUGGAAUGCCUGGUGUAGCGGUGAAAUGCGUAGAGAUUAGAAAGAACACCGAUGGCGAAGGCAGCUUACCGAGCUAUAUCUGACGUUGAGGCUCGAAAGCGUGGGGAGCAAACAGGAUUAGAUACCCGAGUAGUC